GACGAACGCUGGCGGCGUGCUUAACACAUGCAAGUCGAACGGAAAGGCGCUGCUUUUGUGGGGUGCUCGAGUGGGGCACGGGUGAGUAACACGUGAGUAAACUGCCCUUGACUUUGGGAUAACUUCAGGAAAAUGCGGAUCAUACCGGAUAGGAGCUCCUGCAGCACGGUGGGCGUUGGAAAGUUUCGGCUGUUGGGGAUGGACGCGCGGCUUACCCGCUUGUUGGUGGGGUAGUGGCUUAAAAAGCGUUUGACGGAUAGCCGGCCUGAGAGGGUGACCAGGGACAAUGGGACUGAGAGACGCACCAGACGCCUACGGGAGGCAGCAGUGGGGAAUAUUGCACAAUGGGCGGGAGCCUGAUGCAGCGACGCUGCGUUCGGGAUGACGGCCUUCGAGUUAUAAACCGCUGUCGCCUGUGACGAAGCGUGAGUGACGGUAAUGGGUAAAGAAGCACCGGCUAACUACGUG
rnacentral:rRNA from 1 species